rnacentral:rRNA from 1 species
CUGGCGGCGUGCCUAACACAUGCAAGUCGAACGAGAAAGCGGGGGCAACUCCGCAAGUAAAGUGGCGACCGGGUGAGUAACACGUGACUAACCUGCCCUCGAGCGGGGGAUAACCCCGGGAAACCGGGGCUAAUACCGCAUAACGUCCUCGAUACGAAAGUAUUGAGGAUCAAAGGAGCAAUCCACUUGAGGAGGGGGUCGCGGCCGAUUAGCUAGUUGGCGGGGUAAUGGCCCACCAAGGCUGAGAUCGGUAGCCGGCCUGAGAGGGCGCACGGCCACACUGGAACUGAAACACGGUCCAGACUCCUACGGGAGGCAGCAGUGGGGAAUUUUGCGCAAUGGGGGGAACCCUGACGCAGCAACGCCGCGUGGAGGAUGAAGUCCCUUGGGACGUAAACUCCUUUCGACCGGGAAGAUAAUGACGGUACCGGAAGAAGAAGCACCGGCUAACUCUGUGCCAGCAGCCGCGGUAAUACAGAGGGUGCGAGCGUUGUUCGGAAUUAUUGGGCGUAAAGGGCGCGUAGGCGGUGCGGUAAGUCACCUGUGAAAUCUCCCGGCUUAACUGGGAGCUUGCAGGCGAAACUACCGUGCUGGAGUGUGGGAGAGGUGCGUGGAAUUCCCGGUGUAGCGGUGAAAUGCGUA